UAGUGUUUAGGUACUAGUGCAGUGUAGAACCCUUUUCUCAGGCAAAACCUAACAUCUGACCGCACCCUUUUUGCUAUUAAAAAAAAAAAAAAGCUUCUAUUUUUUUCCUCCUGUCGUUAAGAUAAAUUCUCCAGUAGACAACCUCUCCCACUAAUUGUGUAUUAGCAACGUAUUUUAUCUUGAGAGCUUGUACACUGGGCUCUCAACGUGGUGUGGAAGGUAGCCUGUUACAGUGCUGGAUUCAUAAAAGGGCCUUUAUGGUUUGUGAAAGAAUAUCUGUGUGCUUAGGGAGGAAACUUUUUGAUCUGCAGAAAAGCCAGAAGACAUCUAGGACAUCCAUAAAAAUUCAUCAGAGAGCAUUUUACUACUGAGCUGCAAAGGGAAAAACUUAAAAUGGAUAUGAAAAGUGAAGAAAGUGAUCAUAGGAGAAAACCAUUUCAGGUGUCUGAUGAUUUGUGAGCCUCAAGUGACUACUCUGUGGAAUCAUCUGUCCUUGCCUUUGAAUUAGCUUUCCCUAGGCCAUGAGUCAACAUUAGUAGUUUAUACAUCCAAAUUGAUGACAAGAGCACCUCAAAGGCAGCAGCCUCAAGGAGCAGCCAUGGCCCCAGACUUGUCGCACGGAUGCAGAAAACUUAAUGGAGGAGGCUGAGGUUGUGGAAAAUGCACUAGAAUCAACAAACAUGGGGACUAAUUCAACUCGGAUAUCAUGUCUUCAGAGAAGUUUCUCCUGCCCUCCUCUCCCUGUAGAAUUAAGUAUUCUUCCACUGUGCCACCCUCUAACUUGUGCUCAUAUCUUCCUCUAUUGUAGUUAUGUGUUCACAUCCCUGUUGUUUUUGUACCGGCUUCUCCCAAAGGGAGACAUUUAGUCUUAUUCUUCUUGGUAACUUUAGCACAGACCUGGCAGAUUGUUGACACUCAACAAAUGUUUAUUGACUCAAAUGCAUUCAGUUGAACAUUGACCUUUGAUCAACUCUGGGAAAAGUCUGCAAAGCUAGUUAGGACAUUCAGAAAUUCAUUUCAUUUCAAUCCUAACUAAAUAAAUUAUUGAAGUCUCAGAA
rnacentral:lncRNA from 1 species